rnacentral:rRNA from 3 species
GGAUGCAAUCAUACCAGCACUAAAGCACCGGAUCCCAUCAGAACUGCGAAGUUAAGCGUGCUUGGGCGAGAGUAGUACUGGGAUGGGUGACCUCCUGGGAAGUCCUCGUGUUGCAUUCC